rnacentral:lncRNA from 10 species
CAAAAUAUGCAACCUGAAACCAGGCAAGCAUGGAAUUCUGUGAGCCGGUUGUGAAUCCUUGGUAGCUUGAAAGCCACCAUGGGGAAAGUAUUUGCACCACAGAUAUCGGGCAAAUGCAGGAAACCAAGGCUUUCCUUUACCAUCCCCCAGAGAGCGGGUCUACCAGCACACCACUGUCCCCGACCAACCACUUUCCACUUCUUUUGGGAUUCAGUGCCUCGCAGAAGAUAGGCAGAAGCCUGAAGCCAGAGAGCCUCACAAAUGACAGGCCUUCCUACAAAAAGCUUUGAAAGAGGGAACCAGUGCCUCUGUUAGAUCUAAAGAUCAUGGGACAGGAGUUUAAUUCCUUUUGACUCUUCCAACUAGCGUGACCACCUUUGCUGACUAAGAACCUUUCUCUUGGGAGUGGCUCACAUUAUGGCCACACAGUUUUCCACAGGGCCCUCCAAGAGGCAGAUGUUGAAUGGCCAGGUUGCCUAA